rnacentral:rRNA from 1 species
GCGGUGGAGCAUGUGGUUUAAUUCGAAGCAACGCGAAGAACCUUACCAGGUCUUGACAUCCCGAUGCUAUUCUAGAGAUAGAAGUUACUUCGGUACAUCGGUGACAGGUGGUGCAUGGUUGUCGUCAGCUCGUGUCGUGAGAUGUUGGGUUAAGUCCCGCAACGAGCGCAACCCCUAUUGUUAGUUGCCAUCAUUCAGUUGGGCACUCUAGCGAGACUGCCGGUAAUAAACCGGAGGAAGGUGGGGAUGACGUCAAAUCAUCAUGCCCCUUAUGUCUUGGGCUACACACGUGCUACAAUGGUCGGUACAACGGGGUGCGAAGGAGCGAUCCGGAGCGAAUCCCAAGAAGCCGAUCUCAGUUCGGAUUGCAGGCUGCAACUCGCCUGCAUGAAGUUGGAGUUGCUAGUAAUCGCGAAUCAGAACGUCGCGGUGAAUGCGUUCCCGGGUCUU